rnacentral:rRNA from 1 species
UAUAUCAGUCAUGCAUAGCAUAUCAAUAAGCGGAGGAAAAGAAACUAACAAGGAUUCCCUUAGUAACGGCGAGUGAAGCGGGAAGAGCUCAAAUUUGAAAUCUUCAAGGUUUUACCUUGACGAAUUGUAGUUUAAAGAAGUGUUUUCUGUUGGAGUUUUGGUAAAAGUUCUUUGGAAUAGGACAUCAUAGAGGGUGAGAAUCCCGUAUUUGACCAUUACUUUCCAGCUGUGUGAUACACUUUCAAAGAGUCGGAUUGUUUGGGAAUGCAGUCCAAAAUGGGUGGUAAAUUUCAUCUAAAGCUAAAUAUUGGCGAGAGACCGAUAGCGAACAAGUACCGUGAGGGAAAGAUGAAAAGAACUUUGAAAAGAGAGUUAAACAGUACGUGAAAUUGUCAAAAGGGAAGCGUUUGACACCAGUGUUGUUUUCUCGAAAAUCAAUUAAAAAUGGAUGGAUUUUGUGUUGUAUUGACUUUAUCAGGCUUUCUGCACUUUUUUCUUAUCUUUUUUAAUGCACUUUUCGUUUAACAAGUCAACAUCAAUUUCUUUUGUUGUAAAAGAGUCAUUGGAAGGUAGCUUUUUCUUCGGAAAAAGUGUUUAUAGCCUUUGGCUUCUGCAAUCGGAGAGAUUGAGGUCUGCAGCGUAGAUCCUUCGGGGUUAGAUACAUUUGUGCUAAGCUAUAGUUCUUUAUAGACAACUUGUUGACUAUAAUCAAUCCUGUAACUUACUCGCUUAUGCUAUUUUACCUACGCUUAGGAUGUUGAUGUGAUACUGCGAGCA